rnacentral:rRNA from 1 species
UACGUAGGUGACAAGCGUUGUCCGGAUUUACUGGGCGUAAAGAGCGCGCAGGCGGUCGUUCAAGUCGAGUGUGAAAGCCCCCGGCUCAACUGGGGAGGGUCAUUCGAUACUGAUCGACUCGAAGGCAGGAGAGGGAAGUGGAAUUCCCGGUGUAGUGGUGAAAUGCGUAGAUAUCAGGAGGAACACCGAUGGCGAAGGCAGGUCUCUGGGCCACUACUGACGCUGAGAAGCGAAAGCAUGGGGGAGCGAACAGG